rnacentral:rRNA from 1 species
GACGAACGCUGGCGGCGUGCCUAAUACAUGCAAGUAGAACGCUGAAGAGAGGAGCUUGCUCUUCUUGGAUGAGUUGCGAACGGGUGAGUAACGCGUAGGUAACCUGCCUUGUAGCGGGGGAUAACUAUUGGAAACGAUAGCUAAUACCGCAUAACAAUGGAUGACUCAUGUCAUUUAUUUGAAAGGGGCAAAUGCUCCACUACAAGAUGGACCUGCGUUGUAUUAGCUAGUAGGUGAGGUAACGGCUCACCUAGGCGACGAUACAUAGCCGACCUGAGAGGGUGAUCGGCCACACUGGGACUGAGACACGGCCCAGACUCCUACGGGAGGCAGCAGUAGGGAAUCUUCGGCAAUGGGGGCAACCCUGACCGAGCAACGCCGCGUGAGUGAAGAAGGUUUUCGGAUCGUAAAGCUCUGUUGUAAGUCAAGAACGAGUGUGAGAGUGGAAAGUUCACACUGUGACGGUAGCUUACCAGAAAGGGACGGCUAACUACGUGCCAGCAGCCGCGGUAAUACGUAGGUCCCGAGCGUUGUCCGGAUUUAUUGGGCGUAAAGCGAGCGCAGGCGGUUUGAUAAGUCUGAAGUUAAAGGCUGUGGCUCAACCAUAGUUCGCUUUGGAAACUGUCAAACUUGAGUGCAGAAGGGGAGAGUGGAAUUCCAUGUGUAGCGGUGAAAUGCGUAGAUAUAUGGAGGAACACCGGUGGCGAAAGCGGCUCUCUGGUCUGUAACUGACGCUGAGGCUCGAAAGCGUGGGGGAGCGAACAGG